ACCUGCGGAGGAUCAUUAUUGAAUAAACUUGAGCAGGCUGUUGCUGGCCCCUCCUGCAAAGGGGGCAUGUGCACGCUUGUCAUCUUUAUUUCUCCAACCUGUGCACAUAUUGUAGACCUGGGAGUGUUUGAAUAUUUUCGAGUUGGGACUGCUGCACGGUUGUUCGUCAGCUUUGCCUUGAUUUUUCAGGUCUAUGUCAUUUUCACAAACCUCUGAACUUGUUUGGAAUGUAAAAAAACCUAUAAAAAUAUACAACUUUCAGCAACGGAUCUCUUGGCUCUCGCAUCGAUGAAGAACGCAGCGAAAUGCGAUAAGUAAUGUGAAUUGCAGAAUUCAGUGAAUCAUCGAAUCUUUGAACGCAUCUUGCGCUCCUUGGUAUUCCGAGGAGCAUGCCUGUUUGAGUGUCAUUUAAGUUCUCAAACCCCCACAUUUUGAUGGGGGGGUUUUGGAUGUGGGGGAAUAAUGCAGGCCUAGUCUGCUCCCCUGAAAUGCAUUAGUGGUAUCUGAGCAAAAUAAGUACUACAGGUGUGAUAAAUGUAUAUCUAUGCCUCUGGUAUGCUUGCAGAAACAGAUUGCACCGCUUCCCAACGACUUUAUUAUUAUUCUUUUAAAGACCUCAAAUCAGGUAGGACUACCCGCUGAACUUAAGCAUAUCAAUAGGCGGGAAG
rnacentral:rRNA from 1 species